AGCGAAAAGAUAUAUUUUUAAACAAAUUUUAAAAAUGGCAAUUUUCAUGAAAAAGAUCAAUUUUGCUUUUCAAAGCGAUUCUGACGUGCAAAUUGAUCGUCUCACUUUGGUAUAGGAGCGAAAGACUAAUCGAACAAUCUCGUAGUCCGGUUCCCCCUGAAGUUUCCAGCUGCUCAGGAUAGCUCGUGUAUUUAAUGAAGCUGUUGUAUCGGAUAAAGCGAAUGAUUAGAGGAACUGUGAAUUGAAAAAUUUUCAAUUUAUUCUCAAACUUUCAGUGAGUAUUAUGUCUCGGUUGCUUGAAUGAAGCGUAGGCAUUGAAUGUGUGCUUCAAGUGGGCAUUUUUGAUAAGCAGAACUGAAGUGGUGGAUGAACAAACAUUAAGUUCAGAGAGAAGGAUGUCUGGAAUCUAUAUUUUGCU
rnacentral:ncRNA from 1 species